UUAAUAAAAUAAUAAUUAUUAUCAAUUUAAUAUUGUUAUAAUUAUUAUCAUCAUCACGUAAUAGUCAUGUCACAACUACCAUGCUAACUACCACGUUGUUAACAUUUCACUCACAUAAUUAAAAGUAAAUAUGAAAAAAAUGCAUUAAAUCGAUAUGGAAAUAUGAUCCUAAAAUCGUCGAGAGCGAAGACAUAAGCUAAUCCGUAGAUUGUAAUUCAGAGUUUGUUUUAUUGAUAAUUAUUCAAUUUUUUUAUUAAUAAAAAAGAUAAUCAUUCGGAUUUUCCGCUGAAAAUACAUUUGUUUCAAAACAGAAACAGAAAUGCCGUCGUCGUCGUCGUCGUCGUCAUCUCCAAAUCCGUCGACGAUGCUUAAACCAGAGGUCGGACCUGACAGUCUUCCUCGAGAAGCUCCUGUCAUUGCCUACACCGAGAAGAUAAUCGAAGAAGAGCAACUUCAAUUAAGGAAAUAUAUUGAAGAAAAUUAUUCGAAGAUUCGUGAUGUAGAGAUAAAGCUAGCGAAUCUUACGUUAAAGCAGGCUUAAGCGCUUGAACAUAUGAGGAAGAAGAUACAGAUGUCGACGGAGAGAAUUCGUGUUGCGAGGUUGAAGGAGGGAGAAGCUCAGAAGGUAUACUGUCACAGUAAAUUCUCACGGGUCUGGGGAAGAUUAAGUAGACGCUGCAAUGUGACCCAACUGGAGUCUCGGCGUCUUGGAAGCAGCAACAAAAGUUGUGAAGGACGAGGAAGAAAUUAAGCAGAAGUGUGAAGACUUAAAUCAUCUGGUAUUGGCCUAUGUGUGUGCGUAACUUACUUUGGCAAUUGGGGCAGUGCAAGAUUAUGGUUAUUUUCUUGGUGUAGAAGAUGAUAACAAAUGGGCUAAGAAACGGCAUCUGAUUCAGAGAAAUUGUUGAAAGUUUGCACUUGUGGUUAUCCAUGGGAUGGAAAACCAAUGGGACCUGCACCGAACAACCCAGCUCAAGAUGCCUCGAUUCCAUUUUCAACAGAAAGUGGUGCCGGAGUGGCUGAGAAUGCUCCUCGUCACGCAAAUGGGGGAAAUGUCCAAGUCAUGAAUGAGCAAAAUCAACAGCCUAAUGUCGAGGUAGAAGGAAGGGGAAAGAAGAAAGUCCAUUUCCAAGGAAGGGGGAGGCGAAUCGGGGCUGUUCCCAAGGGUAGAGGAUUUUCCCAACCUGGCUGGACGGUGGCAGGAUUUGAUGUCGAUGGUAGAAGUUAGAAGCAACAUUUCAUAUUCUCCUAUACUGAAACUGUGAGUACCUCUACUUUUGCUCCACCAAGCAAGCAUGCUCUUUGUUCCAUAUACGCUGGUUGAUUUUUCCUACUGUAUUUAUUCAAUUGGCUAUAGCUAGCUUGUUGAUAUAGAAAAUGCCAUCUGACCUUUUGAACUUCACAUUGCCACUUACCCUUGCCAUCAAUUCCUCAUUCAAGGAAGUAUGGCUCAAGAACAUUUCUUAUUCUUUACUCUUUAACUAGCCAAAGCUGUGACCUGAAACUCUAGACUCUCCUUGUCCCUUUACAUGUUGCUUAAUAUUUUCUGCCCCGUGUAUUCUUUCACUUGUAUAUAGUCUGUUGAUAUAGAAGUGGCAUUUGAUCCUACUUCCCACUGCUGCUUCACUUGUGUUACAAAUAGAUUCCUUCGAUAUUGUUUACCCAUGUAAAGUAAACAUUUGUUGUUCCUCACUUUUAUUCUGGCUAUAUAUAGCUGUUCGUUUAAAUCUCUA